rnacentral:rRNA from 1 species
UGGGGAAUUUUGGACAAUGGGCGAAAGCCUGAUCCAGCCAUGCCGCGUGAGUGAAGAAGGCCUUCGGGUUGUAAAGCUCUUUUAGUCGGAAAGAAAGAGUUGCAAUGAAUAAUUGUGAUUUAUGACGGUACCGACAGAAAAAGCACCGGCUAACUACGUGCCAGCAGCCGCGGUAAUACGUAGGGUGCGAGCGUUAAUCGGAAUUACUGGGCGUAAAGGGUGCGCAGGCGGUUUUGUAAGUCAGAUGUGUAAUCCCCGGGCUUAACCUGGGAAUUGCGUUUGAAACUGCAAGACUAGAGUGCAGCAGAGGGGAGUGGAAUUCCAUGUGUAGCAGUGAAAUGCGUAGAGAUGUGGAAGAACACCGAUGGCGAAGGCAGCUCCCUGGGUUGACACUGACGCUCAUGCACGAAAGCGUGGGGAGCAAACA